rnacentral:lncRNA from 1 species
UUUGAGGCAUGAUCAAGAGAAGUUUUACUUGAAGAACCUGGUUCAUCAGUAUAUGCUCAUGAGAAAGUUCAGGUAUGUUUCUAUACAUUGAAAAAUUAGAAAGAUUAAUUUUCCAAUCAUGAGAAGAAGUUCUAUUUGCACCAAACUCCCUGAAAUUCUAUCCGUUGAGCAUUGAACCAGCUUCUUUCUCGUAGAACUCUGAAGAAAAUGAGAUUUUUACCUAAAAACUAGAGUCGCCUAUUAAUCACUAAGCGAUUGGAAUUCAAAAGUGAUUAGACUCCUGAUUGACUACUACAAAAAAGUUGUCGUUACUGCAUUUAAUCAUAACCUUAUUUAAAUACACACCACAUCCUCCUUUUUAGUUCAUAACCGUCAUUAAUCUUUCCAAAAUUCCGAUCAUCCUCUUUCUCUCAAAAAUUCCCAAAAUUCUCUAGAAAUACUUUACCGUAGCAAACCAUCAAAAUAAUCCAGGCACUCCCCCACCAGUAUUUUCUAAUACGUCCUCAUCUACACCCCCUAGUGAAAUCCUAAAACCUAGAUUUCGCGGCAGAAAAUGUUUGACAGAAAAAUUGUAGCUUCUAGUUCUUUAUGAAAAGCUCUAAAUGAGAAAUUGAGGGUUGGUCAGAAGAAAGAGAGUUCUGCUAAAGAAUCUGACUCAAGUUCUGAGUCUGAAGCAUAUAUCUCUACCAACAAAAGAGAAAAACAUGGGUCUUCUGACAUUGACAAAAAUCAAGAAACCUUUGAUGAGGUAAAAACUUGUCUUGUAUUCUGUGAUGUGGUAGAAAAGGUAGAUAAUAGGUUUGCGUUAGUUGGUUCUAUGAAAGAUGUAAAGGGGGUUGAAUCUAUUAGAAAGGGAAACAAAAAGAAAGAAAAAGUUCUUGCAAUCUGUAGAGGUGUAGAUGAAAGUGGUUACAAGUUAGGGAGAAGUGGCUCCGGGGAGGCUGCUGAAGGUCUUUUUCAUUUGAGUGAGCAAGAAGAUAAACCUGGUUCAUCUGUUGAAGAAACCCUAGCUGACAUCCUGAAGAAGGUUGGGGCCAGCUAUGAUCCAAAGAAUCGUAAGGCUUCUUCCCAAAAGGCUCCAACUGCUUCCAAGCCAACGAAGAAAAGCAAGGUGCCAUCUCCUAAGUCUACUAUCACUUCAUUACCAAAAGAAAGAGCUAUUAGAAGCAGGGUCAAACAAAGUGAUACACAGUUGCAGAAAGCUUUAGAAGAAAGAAGGAAAAGGAAGAAGGAGAAGAGAAAAGCAAAGGUUAUGGAUAGCUCUAAGGCUGCAGAAGAGGAGGAAGAGGUGAUGGAACUUAUCCAUCAAGAAAGAGGUACAACUGUGGAGUUUCCCACUCCCAAACCAAAACGAUCUAAGACUUCUUCAAAGAAGUCUUCAGAACCUGUAUCUACUGAACCCUCCUUAGCCAAAAGAACCAGAUCUGCAGUAAAGGGUAAACAAGUAAAAAUUACUAACGAAGAAGAAGAAGAAGAAUGGAGUGGGGAGGAAGAAGAGGAGGAGUCUGAGAAAGAACAGGAUAGAUUUGCCAUCUUUGGCAGGAAAAAGAUUUUGAAAGGCAUGUUGUUGAAAGACCUGUAGAAGCCAGGUAUGACAAGAUUGAUGGAUGCCAUGGGUGGACAAGGGUGGAAGGACAUGGUCCUUCAAAUGGAUGGGAGGCUGGCUAGGAAGGAGCUGAUUGAGUUCAUGGCCAAUGCCACUGUAAAAAAUGGGGUAGUCACCAUCUUGGUGAGGGGAGCAAAGGUGUAGUUUGAUGCACCUAAAUUGGGCAAGAUUCUGGACAAACCCAGUGAGGGUUAUGAUGACUAUACCAAGCAGAGGUAGCCUUGUCUAGAUUCUCUACCUAUUGCUCUCCAAAUCACCAAAAAUUUUUGUGAUACAAAAUUUGCUGAAGAAGUGCCUGAGGCAAGGUUUGUGCAAAAGAGUGAGAUGAAGCCUGAGCACAAUGUGCUAUUUGAGUUGUGAUCAAAUGCUUGUUGCCCAGACAAGAGAGAAGGCAUAUUGUCAACUACGUGGAUUUGAUUCUUAUGGAAUGUCUUGUGAGAGGAAUGCAGAUUAACUAGCAUGCUUUCAUUGUCAAGCUGCUGGAUAGGGUCAUCAAUGGCUCUAAGGCUCACGCUACCCCAUAUGGGAUUAUACUGAUGACUGUUCUGGAUAGGCUGCAUGUUCCUCUGAAAAAAUAGGAGAUGGCUUCCAGCAAGGAACAUCUUGGUAUCAGAACUCUGUAGUCUUGUGACUAUCUCCUCAGUAUAGCCCCAGUUGAACCUGGUUCAUCUCUAAAAACUCCUGUGAAUAUCAAGGUUAGGGCCAUGGUUCAAGAAUGUGGACCAAAAGAUGCUGAAAUUGCUAGGCUCCAAGCUCGUGUUGCUGAAUUGGAGAAUGAGAGAAAUGACCUUAAAGAUGAGAUAGCAAAGGAAAAGAGUGCAGGGAUACUUCAGACUAUGCUCAAUCUUUUCCAAUCCCAACCCUCUAGUUCCUCCAAGCCUUAGUUCUUCCAGCUCCUGUCUUUGAACCAGUCUUGAACCCUCCCAGUGACCCAGAUUCGGGACUUUUUCCUUGUUUUUUUUUUGCUCAUGGUUGGAUAUUUUUCUUUCUUUUUGUGGUCUGGUUUGUAGAAACAUUUCCUAAUCAAUGAAUUUUUUUUUCUCUUGUUAUAUGAAGAUUCUGCUCUUAGUAGUUAAUUUUUGUCAAGUUGAUUAUUGAUAUUUAUAGCCUGAUUAAACCUAGCACUUAAUGAUAAGUUAAGUUUUCUAAGUUAAAGUGUUGAUAAUUAAGUUGAGUUCCACAGGUUCUCUGAUCAGUAAAAGCACAAAGUUUGUCAUCAUCAAAAGGGAAAUUUGUUGGUCCAAGUUCAGAUGAAGUUUUGAAGAUUGACAAAUAAACUCAGUCAUGGACCAGGUCCAUCAUGUGAGACAUGGUAGUUAUCAACUUAUACAUGUGAGAUGCACGUGAAGAAGAUAAGUUUCAAGGAUCAAACAAUAAUAUCUUCUGAAUUGAUCGAAAAAGUUGCAUAAAGGAUGAGGAGAUGAAAUCUCCUUAUGAGAAGAGAACUUAAUCCGGAUCAAGGAUAAGGGUUAAGUUUGUAUUGUUCUAGGACUCAAAUUCGAUAAAGGCACUACAACAAAUGUGAUAUUUAGCUACAAAACUUUUA